AUCACCUGGUAUUUGAAGUCUGUCUCUUCAAGCUCUCACUUCCAACCCGCAUGCCCAACUAUGGAAAAUGGCGAGACUGGUUUCAUUCUGAGAAGAACAAUGCUGGACCGAAUCUCAUGUGACAUCACGUUUGUAAGCCAUGUACUAAGACAUCCACAUUAGAGGGCAAGCGGCCAAGGUGACAAGCGAGAAGGCGUGCAUGGAAAUGAGGGUAUGCAACAUGAGACUCCGUUGGACUUGGAGACGGGGACUCAGGAAGCUCUCAAUGGAGGUGAAUCCCUGUAGCAGCAAAUAGAGAGCUGUCGUUUGACUGUGCACAGAACCUUGAUGUCUUCUCCCAGUAGCAACAAGCUGUUGUGUGCACGCCGCUGGACGUUCCAUAUUGCACAUUAUUGAAAUGAAUAGUGGGUUUUGGA